UGUAUUCACUACUGUAAGUCGCUCUGGAUAAAAGUGUCUGCUAAAUGACUAAAA
rfam:Salmo salar isolate Sally breed double haploid chromosome ssa05, whole genome shotgun sequence.